GCCAGGAUAGCUCAGUUGGUUUGAGCAUGGUACUAAUAACACCAAGGUUGCAGGUUCGAUCCCUGUAUGGGACA
rnacentral:tRNA from 1 species